rnacentral:rRNA from 1 species
GCUUAACUGUCUCCUUUUUUAGGUCAAUGAAAUUGAUCUCCCCGUGCAAAAGCGGGGAUACACCCAUAAGACGAGAAGACCCUAUGGAGCUUUAGAUGUUACAACAAGCAUUAUGUGCUAUUCCCAAACAAAGGGGAUAACCACUAGCCCCUGCCCAAACAUCUUCGGUUGGGGUGACCAUGGGAAACAAGAAACUCCCACGUCUCUGUAUUGGAAUCUCCUUAUUUUGACCCAAAAAAACUUCUUCAAACGAGAGCCACCGCUCUAGUUCAACAGAAUUUCUGACCACCGAUCCGGCAACGCCGAUUAACGAACUAAGUU